GACCGAGGGUGCAAACGUUGUUCGGAAUUACUGGGCGUAAAGCGUGUGUAGGUGGCUGCGAAAGUCGGAUGUGAAAGCCCUGGGCUCAACUCAGGAAGUGCACCCGAUACUGCGUAGCUCGAGUACCGGAGAGGUUGGUAGAAUUCUCGGUGUAGAGGUGAAAUUCGUAGAUAUCGAGAGGAAUACCUGUGGCGAAGGCGGCCAACUGGACGAGUACUGACACUGAGACGCGAAAGCGUGGGGAGCAAACAGG
rnacentral:rRNA from 1 species